rnacentral:lncRNA from 1 species
GUUGAGGCAUAUUAUCGUAACCGUAAUAGAAAUCAAGAACAACAGCAGCCUGCACCAGUUGAUGAUAGAGAUUCUUUCUCAAGUAUUGCAGCUGUUAUAAAUUCAGAGAGCCAACUGGACACAGCUGUGGAAAUUGAUUCCAUGGUUUCCCUUUCAACUUCAUCUUCCAGAAGAAGAAAUGAUUCGUCAAGAGUUUCGGACAUGGACAGUGGAGAUUCUCGUGCCCACAGAAGAAGAAGACUUAACUGAAAGCAUCUUCUUCAGCCCACAGUAGCCUGCACCAGUUGCUGAUAGAGAUUCUUUCUCAAGUAUUACUGCUGUUAUAAAUUCAGAAAGCCAACUGGACACUGCUGUGGAAAUCGAUUUCAUGGUUUCCCUUUCAACUUCAUCUUCCAGAGGAAGAAGUGAUUCGUCAAGGGUUUCGGACAUGGACAGUGGAGAUUCUUGUGCCGCCAGAAGAAGACUGAACUGCAGCAUCUUCUUCAGUUCACCAAACGUUAUCCUGUAUGUGCUCUUUGACUUUUAUUUUAUUACCCUUUCCUCCUCUUAAAUGCCUUUCCCAGUUCAGACUCUAGGAAGUAUUCACCUUUGCCGUAACCUUUGUCCUUUGACUUUGAUGAAGUGUGAUUAUGGAACUUCCGCAGCUAUCUGCUUGAUUUAUUUGUUUUAGAUUUUCAUAUAAUGAUCCUCCCUUAACCGAAGGAUCUUAGGCUUUCAAUUUGCAUGGCAAAUCAUUGUACACUAGUACUACUAGUAGGCCAGUUUCGUAGUUCCAUUGUAAAUAGACUCAUGAACUUCUUACGCUAGCGUUCAUUUGGCAUAAUUCUCUAUAAUAUUUAAACUCGCUUCUAUUAAUCCUUUGAUUCUGUGGAAAACCUGCAUGCCUUGUACUUUCCUUUUUUCGAUAUCUAGGCAUAUAAACUGCCCUUGCUUGCUAAUCCUGUCAGUUCAAUUCAACGCUCAAAAGCUUGAUAUAUAGUUGGCAUAUAUGUAUGCUUUUUCAGCCAUGAUCAUGUGCAAGUAGAAGAAAUUGUUAACCUUCUAGCAGGUUGAUUCUGCAUAAACAUGGUAGACAGAUCCCUCGACCAGUGAAACGUACAUACUACUCAUUUUCUUGUCAACCUUUCGUAUCUGCUUCUAUGCUUAACCAGAAAAACUCCAAAUCUAGCCAAAGUUUUAUAUUUUUGCUUCUUUUCAUGUCGCAGACAUCACAAACGACUCAUGAAUAGAUGAACAUACGAAUUCUAUCGACGAAUCGACUGACCUGCUUCAUUUCACAGAGACAGUUAAUAGAAUGAUGAUUAAAUCCUAGCCUCUCUUCUGUACUCUUCUGUACCCAAAAACAGUUUACACUACUAUUUCAGGUUAAUCUGGACCUCCUCCCUCUCUUCUGUACUCUUCUCCUACAUCUUCGUUCCUUUUCCACUUUCUCAAAUCCUAGCCCUCCAAGUUCAGCGUAAGAUGAUGAUUAAACAGCAGGAUGGUAUUCGAGCAGAACUUGCGACUCCGCAUCAGCCAAGGUUAAAAUGGGUGCAAAAACCAUUGUGCUGUCUUAAAAAAUCUCUUCCAUAUUCAUGUCUUAUUGUACGAAAAUUCUACAAUGCGCAGGCGUAUGGGAUUCAUCGAAACAUUAGCCGACUCGAUUUGCAUGACUAGAUUAUGAACCUCAUUCUAGCUGUUUAGACACCGGUGUAUUGUACAAAAUUCUUUUUUUAUUGUAAUCCUGCUGCUUUUAUCUUCGUCACAUGAGCCAUGGUUUUCUAGGUUUAUAUAGCGGUCACUACUUAAUGGGAUAAGGUUUUGUCGUCGUUGUAGUAUACGAGCGUCAAAGAAGAAAAAUAUCUUUUGAGCACAAGUAUACAGGAUUUGCAACAGCAAAAACUCUUAGUCUUGUGAUCUAUGAAGUAAACAUGCAAAAGACAAAAUUUCAAGCGAUACCAUGGAUACAAAUUCUAAUCUUGCGGUGAAUGUUCAAGGAUCAAGUCUAAAUUAGGGUAAAAGUUCGGAGACUUGUUGGGGUUCUAUGUUCUGUUACGUAAUCAAAUUGACGAAAAAUCUACAAAGUAACCAAUAGUGGAUUUUUUUUGUUAAAUUCAAGGACCUUUUGGUUCAGCGAUCAAACUUAAUCUAGAAUGAGUUCAAUGAUCAAAUCUAAUCUAGAAUGAAAGUUCAGAGACCGAUCCUACGUUUUGAUCCACAAAUUUGUUCCACCAAAGAAAUUCGGGCUAAAAUUAUUAAACCAAGCAAGCCAGACACUUGGACAGUUCUUGGAAAGGAAGAACCGAAAGUUACCUUACAAGAAAGUUGGGACUUUUUUAUUUCCACGUCAAUUGUUUGGUCCAAACUUCCAUAUCGUUGCAUAUCGACAGCAGGAGAUUUCAAAUCCAAAGCGUUGUAUGCGAUUUGCUGCUACUUUUUUCAACUGUUUAUAAAUACUUUUAAAAUGAUUGAAAGUAUUUUUUUUAUUAACAUAAUCUAUAACCGAUCCCUAAUAAAAAUGCAAGUGAAUUCUGAAAAACAUUUGGAUCCCAAACACAAUUUAACCGAAAACGUUUUCAGUCAGUCAUUUUAAAAAUACUUCCAAACGAGCUUAACCAAACACUAGUUCCAUCUAAUUUAGCCACUCGGAUUGCCUAACAUGUAUAUGAUAGUUUCAAAAUCCAUCGGCAUUAGGACUUGUUUGGUGCCUAGUAAUAUUGUACUGGACCAAAGCAGGAAAUGAAUAUUGUUUAUACCAUACUUAGGGCCUCCGUAUUUAGAUCUCGUACAAAUACUCAAGAUACUUAAAUGUCAUUAUGUAAUAAAGGAAUGGGCAAAUAUGUAAUAAGUGAUGAGCCCUUAUUCUAUAAAAUGACUCCUCACCCUCACAAUUAGAGAAGGCCAAUUCCUAGGCCCUCUCACCCCCUCUCAAAGCCUCACUCUCAUUACAGAGGCUCUCACACUCACUCCCCUCACUUCUCAGAGAAAUACAAUAACCAGUGUGGACGUAGCCCAAACCUUGGGGUGAACCACGAUACAUCUUGUAUUAUUUACUUUCUUGCAGAUUCACGGUCGAAUUUACGUUAUUCCAAAACCUCCGGUUUUGUGCAUCAACAAAUAUCAAUGUCUGAAUCUUGUCUAGUUUGAAGAUAGAAGAAAACUUAUUCUUCCAUCCUACCAAAACUGAAUGUAGAGACAAAAUUUAAUAAGUUAUCUAAUUUAAUAUACAAGACACAAAACGAAACAAGACCUUAUAUAUCUAGGUUAAUUAUGGCUUUAAUCUAAUUAUUGUAAGCAUUGCUCGUUAUUAUUUUACAAAUUAUGCAGAAAAUUAAUUAGCUAGGUUCUGUUUGGUAUGCCAUAGAAAGUGUAGAAACACACGGUUUCUAAUCACCUAUCCCUUGGUUGGAACUGCAUCUUUAUCCAUGACUCAUGGCGAGCCAUGCCGAUAUAGUAGUUCUGGCUUCAGCUACCUUAUGUCUAUGGCAUCGCAAUCUUGACUUUUGAUGCCCAUGAUAGACCGUGUUUAUCAUAUGCUGGGACACACAGACACUGAUAACCACAAUAAUAGUAGACUAGUAGCAGCGAAUUGUAGGGCAGUCCGAAAAUCCUGCACAACAAAAACAAAAUGCAAUCAAUCUUCACUUCUCAUAUUUUCUAAAUUUUAGUCAAGACCGAUACUAGCACAACUCUUUAUAUUUGUCAAGUCUUUGAGUCUUAAAUUACUUACAGUUUAGUUUCAAAACCGUAGUUCAUCUAAAGUGCGAAUUCUCAUAUUAAUGGAAACAUGAGUACUGUUAGAUUGACGAGUUUAUAUUUCUUUACUAGGUAUAGGGUUUUUUUUUUUUUUCUUCUUGUUUUUGUAAUCACAGUCUAUUGAUUUAUUCCCGUUUAAAUGAUUAGUAACACUAAAGAUAUACCAAUCAAUCUAUUGGAUUCUCCAAAUCUGACUCUAUCACUCUGCAGAUUAAUAACAUAUGUGGGACCGCAGGUCCCAUUGACACAGGUAAAUAGUAUUGUUGCUACUUGCUUGGUUUGAUGAUGACGACGACGAUUCUGUUUGGGAUAUGAUGUUGGACAUAUGAAGCCCGGAAAGUGUGAGAAAAGAGAAUGGGAGCAAGAUGAUUGGAGAAGGCAAAGGCCAUGAUUGAACACACGGAGAGUGUGUUUUAAGCCAUCCCCUCCCCCUUGCGGCAUUGUCCCAUGGUCAACAAUCCUAGCUUGUCCUUACGCAAGCAUAUCAAUUUAUAUUUUUACAGUCGAAUAAUAUAAGUUAUCUUUAACUUUUGAAAAAACUAAGAGAUAUAGGAGAAAUAAAGUUCAUCUUAUUUGGUAUUACUCUGGCACUAGUUAUGAGAGUCGUCAAUCUCUUCCUAAAUUUUAUGUUGCCAAAAAAAAGUUUCAUCAUUAUUUCGUUCACACUCAACAUCUUAACAGAAUUGAAUUUUUCCUAGCUAAGGGAAAUGAGAAUAGGACUAUGGUCAAAGAAUCGUUGGCAACUGUCGAUUGAAAUCAACAAGAACAAUAGUAUUUCGUAAUUCACGACACUCGAGAGGAUUUUUUAUUUUUCUACAAUUGUAACCUUUUUAGAUAUGGGUAAGGACACCGUUUGCUACACUCACGUCUCCCAAGAAAGGUUUGUAAUCUAAGCAAGGUCAAAAUUUGAGGAUUUGAUAAUGCUGGCUGUUGAUGUUUACGGAACUGACCCCAAGGUUGAAAUGGACAAGGAAAUUAUCAAUAAGAUCAUCAUCGAGAAAUUUUUCUAAGGGUCCACACGGAUUUCCUUAGUGGAAACAACAAGCCCGAGGAAGUUGAUUCGGUCUACCCUACAGAUACCUACUAACUCCGCCUACAACUGGUGUUUCCUUAACUUUCUCCAACACGACUUUGGAUGUCAUAAGCGAUUUCCCAACAGAUAUGCCUCUGCCCACCAUUCCUAAGGAACAUAUGUUGCAGAAUAGCGAUCCGAUAUUGAAAGUCAUUCAUCAAAUAAUUACGACAAACUUGAGGCACAAUCCCGACACGAAUUUCUUAUACUUCAAAUAGGAUGUGACUAUUCAGGCUGAAUGAGGAUUGCACAACUGUGCCGAAGGACAUCAGUAAACAGAAGCCAUGACAUCCAAAUGAUAUCAAGGCCAACACACUACUAGAGUAAGAGAAGAUCCUAGGUAUGCUCUGAACAAACCAUUCUCUGAUACCAAACUAACACGCCCCAAUCCCAAUAUCCCCAUAUACCAGGGUAGGCACGUGCUGGUCGACACCCAAGGGUGACGAAGCCAUUUUAAAUAUGCAAACAAAUAAAGAAUAUGCAAUUAGAACGAAAUAUGCCAUUGUACGAACAUGUUCAGAGCAUACAACGACUAAGAAUAAUAUGGAAGAAUUAGUAAGAAAAGAUACGAACAAGGAAAUGAUACCUAUACUAAGAAGACUCGAGGAUACCUAUGUUGUAGAGUCAUGACACCGGGAACAAAUGUCUCGAUUCUAACUCCUGAGGUGGCGCAAAAACCAAAAGGUGAGUGGACAAACUUUUAUAAUAAUACUAAUAAGAAGAAAACAUUUUAUUUCUGAACAUAAUAAGCCCCUGUUUUGAAAACACAUAUAAUACUACAUAAUAGAUUUUCUGAAAACCCUAGCAUGCCAUGAAAAACCAUUUAAUAAGGAAGUGCGUAAAAUCUAGUGCUCAAUUAUAGAAAUAUCAUUGCCCGAAGGCAAUUUUGUAAAACAUCUAGAAAUCACGUCAGUGAGGUACUCACUAGGGGUAUCAUAGUCGCCCAAAUGUAAUACAUGUCCAUCACCUGAAGGUGAAGCUGAAUAACAUGUCCAUCACCCGAAGGUGAAGCUGAAUAACCUGUCCAUCACCCGAAGGUGAAGCUGAAUAAAAUAGCAUAACAUACACAUCAACACUAACCGUGGCUAGUGAAGCUGUCCGACACUGCUUUCGGCAGUUAAGCUGGGGGUAUAUCAUAAACAUCAUCAAUUGUGUCAUAUGGCGAUAGACGUCAUACCCGUGUUGUGUGUAUGUGCCAUAUGAUAACCCACUAGAUAAGUACCAAAAACAUAUCUCAAAACUCGUAUUAAAAUACCGGAGUUCAAAAGCUCAAAGUCACAUCUCAUAAAUCCAUGAUAAAUCAUAUUCAUGAAUCCAUAAAAUAAAUCAUAUUCGCAAUUUCGUAAUAUAAAUAGUAUUCGAAAUCCAUAGAAAUCCAUGUAUGCAAAUCCAAUAAUUUGUAUCCAUUCGUAAAACGUAAUCUCUAUAAAUUAUUAAUAUUUUGUAAACCCUAAAUUAUAGAAAUCCAUAAAUCAUAUUAUAAAACAUACUUAAAUCAUGAAACAUGAGAUGCAUGCUAGGGUAAUGUUUAUAAAAACAUAUAAGUUAAGAAGGGGUCCACUCACAAAUAUUUUAUUGCCCGAGAGCUGCUUGAACUAGCGAGGAGGGUGCCACCUCCCACCGAAGCACCUAAACACAUAUAGAGGCCAUUUAAAAAACUAUACUAAAACGUCAGAAUUUUGGAAAACGGGUGACGAAUUAUGUCACGUCCCGGAUCCGGGGUUGGAAAAAAAAUUAACCCCGCACCCAGCGCACGAGUAAAAGUAAAAUAAAUAAAAGGAAAUUGACACGGGUUGGAAAAAUAAACUCCACUUUUUAAAUAUAACUCCAAAUUCCUCACAGGGUGUACAAAAGUAAUAAAUUAAAAUCCUUAAACUUCUCCUCAAUCACAACCUCAGCUCUUUUAACACAUGUCUUGCCAAAUAACAUCUGUAAAAUAAUAGGUGAGGGGUGAGCAACAACCACCAUCGCUCAAUGAGUAGAAUAUGUAAUAUGUCAAUCAAGCAAUGCAUGUUUACACACACUAGAAAAUACAAUAAUAAUAUCAAAGGUUUAACCACGUAAUUUCAUAUCACAUCAUCCUUUUACGUGUUCAUUACAUCCUUCAUAAAUUGUAACUCACCACGUGACCUCUACUGGCCUUUUUGCCCUAAUGUCCCCGUGUGCAGUUUACAUUUAUCCCUUGGAUUAAUGCAACACUAAAGUUCUCAUACUCCAUGAACAUAUCCAAAUAAUCCACAUAUCACCAUAUUAAUAAUUCCAAAAGCAUUUCAACAAAUCCAACAUGCUUGACUUAAAAUAGAUAGAGAUUUAUAAAUAGAUAAAACCCACUAUAAUUCAUGGUUUUCAUUUAUCAGAAAAUAAGAAUACUUUAAAACACAUUACAUAAACCACUCACCUUGAUAAUCCAAGCUUUGGCAAGACAACCCAACUAACAUCUCUACAAACCUCAAACUCUCUAACCCUAAACUCUCUUGCUUCUCUCUACGUUGAACCUUCGAUGCAUGCUCUGCAUGUUUCCUUGAUAUGCGAAAACAAUGGAGCAUGGCCUUCUAUUUAUAGGUUAGGGAAGCCGGCAACAACUUGGUUGGAAUUGGAUGGUUUUUGGGGUCUCAAAGGCAAGGAUAAACUGGUGUCCUAAAAUCUUUCCACGCAGCCACUUUUUAAUGAAGACUAAGCAACCUAUGCUGCUUAUUCAUCAAACCUAUAAUCACACGUGUAAGAAAUAUAAGUGACUAAGCACUUAAAUAUAUCCACCCUUGCCACCUCCAGGUUCCAUGUUGCACCAUUUAAUUACCAAUAACAUUGGCAUCUAAAACUCUAAAUAAAUAUUUAUUUUAAAAUACGGGGUCUCACAAAUUCGACACGUCAAAAAACGUAAGGAGGGACCUCGGGUUCCCCCACGCGCCGCCGCACUCACCGCCACUAGGCGGUGGCCCCGGAAGCCAUGGUCCCUCGCCUGAAACUGGGAAAGCAGUCCUCAUGGUUUCUGCAUCCCGAGCUCACCAAAAUGAACACGCCGACUUAGGAAUCGAACUAAACAUCGGAAGGAAAAGAGGAGAUGAACCCCAAAGUUUACCUAGCCUACGACCAGUGGAGGCUAUUGGGAAAAACUCAGUGUUUGUUGCAAAGGUCGAGAAUCCUCGAGUUGAUUUUCCUCACGCAUUCAUGUCCUUGAUUCAAGCCUAAAUACAAUGUAAUGGUGGUGAUUCAUGGAGUGACUCGUCGGAGAAAGGUGUGGUGAUUGGGUGUCACCACUGUUGAUGCAGAGGUAAGGCACGGGAAAGUGAUGAGAAAAUAAUAGAGAGAUGAGGGAGAGAUGAGAGGGAGCUGAGGGAAAUAGAGAAGGGGAGAGAAUUCUAGAGAGAGACAGAGAUGUCAUGGGAGGGGGGAAUACAUGGGCCAAAAGAACACCCCAAAAAGUGAAGGGAAACUGCCACGUGUCAAUCUGUGAGUGGUUCAAAGUGAAAUAUCUUUACUUGGUAAAAUUACCAAAAUACCCUUACGUUUCAAAUUCCUUAAAACAUUCAUCGUAACUCCAAACUUGAUUCCACUUGCACUCACGCAUUCGCGAUGACGAGUACUACGAGGAUAUGCCAAGGAAACGAGUCUUACAUGACACGACAAGGUGGUCAACAAAAGUCAACGUUUUACCUCGAAGGGCAUUUUCAUAAAUUUGUCCUUUAAAAUUUAUAAAACUGUAAAAUUUGGAGACGGGUCGUUACAUCAAGGCUAAAAAGUUUGUAAGGGAAUGCUAGUGUAGAAGAAUCCAGAUAGAAUUCUAUAGGGCUAGAUUUUGUAAUCCACGUGGGAUUGUGAUUUACUUGUACGUCAAAUCACAAACUUAUAUAUAUGCACCUUGUGACACUAAUAUAAUUACACUAUUCUCAUAAUUCUACAUGCAUAUAUACUAUAUCAUUUGAUUAACAAAUUUGACCAAUUAAUCUCAUCCAAUAUGUUAGUUGUAAAGUAUUAACAACUCUCACCAACCCACGUGUAUAAUACCAAAGAAACCAGUUGGUCCUGGUUAAGAUGAAGUAUCUUUAUUUUUCCUAACUCUAGAAUUUUGAUUAAUUGCAUGCAUGCAUUACUCUUGUAUGAGUGACUCGGGAGAUUAAUUACUUCGUGUGCAAAAUGUAUCCCUAGUUCUGAAAUUUGUAGGAAUGCACCCACCAUAUACCCUACGUCGCUCUAAUUGUGGAGAAUUAUUAAGCAUCAUCCGGCAGUGAAAGUGGCAAACAUGAAUCGAUUACACUACGGGGGGAGAUUUUUAUUACUUAACUGCUGGCAAAAAAGUUAAUGUUAAUGUAUGUUUGUUUGUAGAUUGGAAAUGUUAAGCAUAAUCGUUCACAUAAAUUUAAUUGGAGUGAGUCGUGUACACUAUGAACACUAAGUUUUAUCCAAAUGUUCAUCGCAAUGUAAAUGUCCUCCGUUCGAGUAUAUGAUCCCAUUACUUUUGUGGCAUAUUUAAAUAUUUGUAAUCAAAAUCAAAAUUGGAGUUAGAUUUCGAUCAGUAUUCUUAUGUUUACUUACUACGUAUGAAUCGAAACAAAAGUGGGGCUUUAAAAGGAAAAAAUAUUCAGCUCCUCUUUUUGGAGGAAUUGAAUUCUUUGUGAGAGGUGGAUUUUUAAUUCCUCAAGAAAGACGGAAUCAAGAAUGCAAUGCUCUAACAUAAUUUCUAAAAUUUUAACGUUAUUGUUAACUGGCAUAUAAAAUAAUGGAUUUUAGUAAUCAUAUUUGUUUCUAUUCCUAUUCUAGGGAGCAUAUGCAUCAUGUCCCGAUUCCGAGUUACUUCCAGGAUCAACAUGUGAUGUAUGUACCUAUUCAAUUAUCAUGCCUUGCUUUCGAGACAUGACAAAACAACCCAACUGUUCUAUAACAUAAAAACUUUUCCUUUUAUUUCAUGGCUGCAUCUAACCUAGGUGUUAGACUUUUCCUUUUAUAAACAUCGACAUUUCUCAUAAUACUUCUAGCAUAAAAACAUAGAGUUCUAGAAUCACUCAUUGGAACUCUAUUAGUAUGAUUCACUAGAUUCUAGACUACUUAACGAACCAUAUAACAACCAUGAUUGUCAUUUGUCAUUCACAUGUGUAACAGUGUUUUCCAAAAACAAUUUCACAAUCUCAAUAAAUAAUCAAUUCCAUGAAUCAAAUAUGCACAAUAUUAACGUUUAACUACGUUAAUCAACCAACAAGACCAAAAGUUACCCUACUAGUUUUAAUAAAGCCAACCUCUGUAAGGUUUGCUGUAUUUACCUACAUGAAAUCCAAGCAAUAGCAUUGUAAUCCCUAAGUUACAAACACAAGCGUAAACUUGAGCAACUUAUAUGCACAAUGAUCUAGAAUUCCAGACGAACUCAAAAGAAUUGAAUAAGAAGUGUGAUUUCGGACUAACUCAAUGAAGUCUAAUGUAAUCAAAUAGGAAGUGAGAUUCCCAACCAACCAACUAAAUCGAAAUGGAGGAUGGUUCUAGACAAACUCCACAUAAUCCAGACAAAGCACAAUUCUGGAUCAACUCAAGAAACCAAGCAAGAAGAGGAAUUUCAGACCAACUCAACGCAAUUCAGACCAAGCACGAUUCCAUACCAACUUAACGAAACCGAAUGAGAAGAGGGAUUCUGGACCAACUCAACGUAAUCCAAAUGAAGCACAAUUCCGAACCAACUCAACGAAACAGAGUAAGAAGAGGGAUUCCAGACUGAAUCAACGAAAUCCAGAUGAAUAAUGGUUCCGGACCAACUUAACGUAAUUGAGUAAGAAGAUGAAUUCCGGACAAACUCAACGGGAUCCUGACGAAAGACGGUUUGAGAUUAACUUAACGGAAACGAGUAGGUAGAGGGAUUUCAGACCAACUUAACGAAAUCCAAACAAAUAACUAUUCUAGACCAACUCAACGAAACUGAAACCGAGUAGGAAGAAGGAUUCUGGACCAACUGAAUAGAAUCCAGACAAAGCACGGUUCCAUACCAACUCAGUGAAACCGAGUAAGAAAAGGGAUUCCAGACCAACUCAACGAAACCUAGUAGGAAUAAGGAUUCUAAACCAUCUCAACAGAAUCUAUACUAAGCACAAUUCUUAACCAACUCAAUGGAGCGAAGUAAGAAGGCAGAUUCUGGACUAACUCAACAAAAUCCAAAUGAAGCACGGUUCUUAACCAACUCAAUAGACCGAGUAAGAAGAUGGAAUUUUGAACCAACUUAACGGAAUCCAUCAAAGAUAGAGUUCUGGACCACUCAACAAAACCGACUAGGGAACCGGAUUCUGAACCAACUUAACGAAAUCUAGAUGAAAGAGUGUUUUGGACUAAUUUAACGGAUCCCAAAUGGAAUACGGUUCCGGACCAACUCAACGAAACCAAAUGGAAAAAGGGAUUGUAGACCAACUUAACAGAAUUCAAACGGAACACGGUUUAGAACAAACUUAAAGAAACAGAGUGGAAUUUAAAUGGAACACGGUUUAGUUUAGAACAUCUCGGAACUAGACAGGGUACUAAUUUGAAGUCACAACUCCCCAUGACAACGGGAUUAACGGUCCCCUAGUAGCCCUCACGUUACACAAACAUUUCAAAUAUACUACGCCAACACACUUCCUAAAUCCUGCCAUAUCCACAAAGUAUACCACAUGGGGAUUUCUAAGUACAACAUUUUAUGUUUCUCUUAUGUACCCAUAUGCUUUUUUGUCAUAACAUAUACCCAGGUGCCAAUAUAUCAAUUUGGGUACAUUUGUAUAUGUACAUUGUGGGUACAUUUAUUAAAUAGGGUUUAGAAAAAUUAUAAGUGCAUAUAUAAAUGUACCCAAACUAAUAUAUUGCAUAUGGGUACAUGUUAUGACAAAAAACCAUACAGGUACAUAUUAAAAAUAGAAAAUGGUGUACCAUUAAACUGUAAAUGAGCCAAAUCGGACUGAAUCAUUGUGCUCUCACAAACCUAAGCAAAGUGACUCUCUUACUAACUAUAAAGACAUGAUUAAUCACCUCAAUAACCAUAUGAGUACAUUCCCUAUUGAACUUUUUAGUUUCAACUAUUUGUAUAAUUCAUCAUGAGAAAACAAGUACAAGGGAGAAGAUCUUAUAUAGAGCUUGAGAGUGGCUUAAAGACCUAUAGACAAAGCCUCAUAUUAGGUCAUAUAAAGAACCAAAAAAUAAUCCUGCUAACCCUGCUUACAAGUUUCAAUAAAACACAAGACCAUGAAUUAAGGAGCAAAUUAAGAGACAAAGGAAAAGUGACAGCUGCAACUCACACAUGUGAUUGUGUGUUGAAGAAGCAAUACAUCACGUCUACAUCACUUCCAAUGUCCAAAAGUGACAGCUGCAACUCACAUCUACAUCACUUCCAAUACUCCCCCUCAAGCUGGAUCAAGAGGGUUAAUUGAUCCAAGCUUGCACAACAACCGUUGAAAUUAUGUAAAGUCUAGAGCUUUCGUGAAAAGAUCAGUAAGUUGAUCAUGGUUUCUAGUGUACACAGUGUUGAUGACAUUGGAUUGAACUUAUGUACGAAUGUAAUGACAAUCAACUUCAAUGUGCUUCGUCCUUUCAUGAAAUACCGGAUUAGAAGCAAUAUGCAUUGCGGCCUGGUUGUCACAAAGCAACAACAUUAGUUUCUUGCUGGUGAAGCCAAGAUUAAAUAGAAGACUCUUCAACCAUAUGAGUUCACAAGCUGCUACUGCCAUGGCCCUAUAUUUAGCUUCAGCAUUGGAUCUUGCAACCACGGUUUAUUUCUUACUCUUCCAGGUGACCGGAUUACCUCCAACAAACGUAUAAAAACAUGUGGUGGACUUUCGAUCAAGGGCAUUACCAGCCCAAUCAACAUCAGUGUAGGCCAUGAUGUGAUUGGACCCACUUUUAUUCAUGAGUAUGCCUCUACCGACCGAACCUUUGAGAUAUCUAAGUAUUCUCUUGACAAUCUCCCAAUGAACCGACGUAGGAGAAUGCAUAAACUGGCUGACAAGGCUCACUGAAUAAGCAAUGUUAGGUCGAGUAAUUGUGAGGUAAAUAAGUUUUCCAACCAUGCGUUGAUAAACACCAUGAUUGGAGAGAGGCUCACCUUUGGCAUCCAACUGAAGUUUGCUAAUAAGGGGAUUGUGAGCAGGUUUACACUCAAGCAUGUGUCCUUCAUCAAGAAGAUCAACUACAUCCUUUCUUUGAUUUAAAAAUAACCCCCUGGAAGAAGUGGCCAUCUCAAUGCUAAGAAAGUAUUUCAAGACUCCUAAGUCUUUAAUGGAAAUUUGUUGAUGUAUGGAGCACUUAAGAGCAUUGAUUUCAUUCACAUUGUCCCCCAUAAUUAUAAGAUCAUCCACAUAUAUAAGCACAACGAGCUUGCCUAGGACACCACUGCGAACAAAUAAGGAGGAAUCAGCAUGACUUCUUUUGAACCAUGCAACUUCAAGAACUGAGCUCAGUUUAGAAUACCAAGCUCGAUAGGAUUGUUUGAGUCCAUAUAUAGCCUUAUAGAGCUUGCAAACUUUGUUAAGUUCACCUUCUCGUGGGUGUCUAUGAGGUAGCUUUAUGUACACAUCUUCUUCAAGAUCACCAUGGAGGAAAGCAUUUUUUACAUCCAUUUGAAACAAGGGCCACUCGUGAUUGACUGCCAUUGAUAGCAACACCUUCACUAUGUUCAUUUUGGCAACCGGGGCAAAAGUUUCCUUGUAAUAAAUACCGUAGGUUUAUGUGAAACCACGGGCUACCAAUCAAGCCUUGUGUCUCUCAAUGGUACCAUUGGAAUUGAAUUUUGUCUUGUAUAUCCAUCUACUCCCUACAGCCUUCUUGCCUUUGGGAAGAUCAACCACACUCCAAGUUUCAUUUUCAUCCAAUGCUUUGAGCUCUUCAUGCAUGGCUUUUGCCACACACGUGUACAUACGGCUUCUUGAAAGCUUCUUGGCUCAAGAUUGUUUGACAACUGGUUGAGAAAUAAUGCAUGGGAGGCCGACAAUUUUUGGUAAGUAAUAGCUUCAGAGAUAUGGUACCUUGCAGAGUACGUAACGUAUUCUUGUAACCUUAACGGGGGAUGUCAAUCUCGAGCAGGGUUCCUUCUUGGUGCUACUACUGAUUGUGGAGUUGCAGCUUGUGGUUGUGGUGCUGGAGCACUGGGUACUUCCUCACUGACCACCUCAUCCAUGUUGGAAUUAAUGAUAUGGUUUGGGGGGUUUGCAUGAAUUUCUCCAGGAGUAAGCAGUGGAAAGGUGUCCAUUAGACUCUCCCCCUGAAGAUUAUUCUCAGAAUCCUUGUGAAAGAAAUGAGUGAGUUCAUCAAACCGAAUAUCCCUAGAGACAACAAGUUUCCCAGUGUGUGAGUUAUAACAUUUGUAUCCCUUUUGAGAACUAGAGUACCCCAUAAAUGCACAUUUCACAGCUCUAAGUUCUAGUUUAUCACGAUGAGUAGCUUGGAUGUGGACAUAACAAGUACAUCCAAAGAUCCUGAGAUGAGUCAAAUCGACGGUUCUUCCUUUCAUGACUUCGAAAGGUGACUUGGCAUUCAACACACGAGUUGGAAGUCUAUUAAUGAUGUAGGUUGCAGUGAGAAGUGUUUGGGACCAGAAUCUCUUGGGAACUUGCAUAUGAAACAUAAGGGACCUUGUUUUCUCCAACAAAUUCCUAUUAUUUCGCUCGGCUACACCAUUUUGUUAUGGUGUACCAACACAACUAGUUUGAUGUAAGAUGCCAUGAUUGCUCAAGUAAUUGGACAUGUUAUUGGAUGUAUACUCGGUGUCAUUUUCUGACCUUAAGGUAAAGGCGAAUUGAUUGGUUAUUAGUUUGUGAAAUUCUUUGAAAGCUUCAAAAAAAUCACCUUUAAACUUUAAAAGAUACACCCAGGUAACCCUAGAAUAAUCAUCAAUAAAAGUGACAUAAUACUUGUAUCCAUCGAAUGACUCAACACGAGAAGGUCCCCAAAUAUCUGAGUGUACAACUUCAAAAAGUUUACUGGUUCUAGACUGAGAGGAUACAAAGGCAGCCUAGUGGAUUUUGACAUUUGACAGGUCUCGCACUCAUGUGUGCUUUUACAAAAAUUUGGAAAUAACUUAGACAUCACUGGUUCUGAGGGAUGAACGAGACGUUGGUGCCAAAGUUGGUACUCCUGGGCAUACUUAGGUUGGCAAUGGGAUCCUUAACAAGAUUGAAAUUCUUUGAGAGGUAGUAUAGACCAUUUAGAAAAAACCCUUCACCAAUCUUCUUCUGAGUGACUCGAUCCUAAAACACAACGUUAUGAGGAGAAAAUAUGGCAAGGCAGUCCAAAGUGUGCAUGAUUUUUCCUAUGGACAAAAGCUGGAAUGGAAAUGAAGGUACGUAAAGUGCAGUGGACUCUACAUCAUUACCCAUCAACCUAAUUUUUCCUUUUCCUAGAACAAGUUCCCCUUUACCAUUUGCUACAUAUACAUGAGUAGGAUCAAUUAAUUUUUGAAACUCAUGUAGACAAGAUGUUUUAUUAGUUAUAUGAUCAGUGGCACCUGAGUCUACAAUCCAAAAAUCAUGUGUGAGAUGUGCAUUGAGAGCAGUGGAGAUUGCACUAACAAUACCUAGGAUAUUGCCGUGCGUUGUGGUAUCUGAACUUGCCAAAAGCCAGCGAAUUUUCCAAGCAUGGCAGUGGAGUUUUCAGUGAUCAUUUUUUCAUUCUCAGUGGUCUCAUUCUUUCUUUGGAGAAAGGCAGCAAAUUCAUUAAUUAAGCAAAUCGAAUUUGAAGUGAAGUUUGUCAUCUCAUCAGUUGAACAACUAGUUGCACGGAGGGCUUUUGGAGCAAACCCUUUUCCAUCUUUGAUCAUUUUCCAUUCCUUGUCAAACUUAGGUUUUAACUCAGGAUGUAAGAUCCAACAUUUUUCCAGUAGGUGCCCCUUAAAGUUGCAAUAUGUGCACUUCCAGUCAGCCUUCUUCCCAUUAAAAAAUCUUUCACCAGAAAUUUUGUGGUUGCUAGUGAAAACCUUAGCCUCAGAGCUAAACUUGGGCUCAAUAUGCAUUACCUUUCUUCGAGUUUCUUCCCUUUGAACUGCAUGACACACGCUGAUGAAUGAUGGUAAUUUUGGGGUCAUUAGCAAAUGACUAUGAAGAUCUUCAUACUCAGCUCCCAAGCUUGCUAACAGUUGAAACACUUUAUCUUCAUCAGCCCUCUUCAAGAGCACAGCGGAUUCGGUUGUGUGUGGACGGUAUAGAUCAAGCUCAUUCCACAUAGAUUUCAUGCUUCCAAGGUGCUGAACGAAGGAUUGGUCACCUUGCUUUAGGCCAGCAAGACUCUUCUUCAGUUCAAAUACACGAGCAGCAUUGUUUUGGCUGCCAUACAUUUCCUUAACAGAUUCCCAUAGUAGGUGUGAAGAUCCUGAAUAGCUAAAGAGCUCCGACAACUUGGGUUCCAUCGAGUUAAGAAUCCAAGACAUUACGAGCUGAUCAUUUGAGUGCCAUGCAUCAAAAGAGAGUGAGGUGGAUUCUGGAGGCUUGAUGGUUCCAUUUACGUACCCUAGCUUCGAUCUUCCUCCUAAGGCAAGAGAGACGGCUCGUGACCAAGGCAAAUAAUUGAACACAUUCAACAAUACUAAGCACAAUCGUUGGUUUGGAUUGAUCUCACCGUGUAUCAUGUUGGUUGUUGUUGAGGUUGAGGAACUUGUAUUCUCAGAACCGAAUGGAUUGCCUUCUGCCAUCUCAACAAAUAAUGAACAGAAGGAAAAAUGAACUAAAGAAAAAAACAACAGAGACAGGACCCUAUGGUUCCUGCUCUGAUACCAUAUUGAACUUUUUAAUUUCAACUAUUUGUAUAAUUCAUCAUGAGAAAACAAGUACAAGGGAGAAGCUCUUAUAUAGAGCUUGAGAGUGGCUUAAAGGCCUAUAGACAAAGCCUGAUAUUAGGUCAUAUAAAGAACCAAAAAAUAAUCCAACUAACCCUACUUACAAGUUUCAAUAAAACACAAGACCAUGAAUUAAAGAGCAAAUUAAGGGACAAAGGAAAAGUGACAGCUACAACUCACACAUGUGAUUGUGUGUUGAAGAAGCAAUACAUCACGUCUACAUCACUUCCAAUGUCCAAAAGUGAUAGCGGCAACUCACGUCUACAUCACUUCCAAUAUACCCUUUUACUCCACCACUUGCCCGAAUAUUACUGGCAUUGUGUGCAAUGUCGUUAUGCAAGCUUUCCUUUCCGAUCCCAGGAUCGGUGCAAGCCUUGUCCGUCUACAUUUUCAUUACUGUUGUCGAUGUAAGCCUCUUACUAAUCUUUCUUAAAGUUAUACUUUAUAAAUUUUUAUUGAAGCCUCAUAUUUUUUUAUUGUGCUAUGAUUUUCUUUUUCAGGGAAGGGAUGUGAUGCUUCAAGUUUGUUAGACAAGAAUGGAAGCAUACUGCAAAGAAAGGAAGAUGCAGCUCCCAACACCAACUUGGCUCGAGGGUUUGAUGUUGGUGACAACAUCAAAACUGCUCUAAAGAAUUCGUGUCCAAGUGUUUCUUCUGCUGACUUUCUGGUCUUUGCAACAAGUGCUUCUUGAAUAAACACCUUUAAGUGUUUUUCCAAGAAGCGUUUUAAGUACAUUUUCAAGAAACACUUUAAAUGCUUUCUAAAGAAGCUUUUCUAAAUGGGUCUUAAGCAAUAUAGUUCGCAAAUUGUGCUUUACAAAAACUGAAAACCUAGUAAUAUGGGUGUAAAUUAAUUAAAACAUAUCAAGCUAGAGGUGUUAAGCGAAUUAGCUUGGCCCGUGAUGUAGUUGGGUUGGCCCACUUAAUAAAUGGGCAAGGCCAACUCUUCCCAUUUAGAUAAAACAUUUAGGCCAUUCCAAACUGCGACCUUGACACAUAAAGGGCUGGGCCACUAAACAAGCCAACUUCUGCCACCCAACUUUAGUUAUUUUAAAUUGUUAAAAGAAGUUAUUUGAACCUAAGUAUAAGCUAAAUAUCACAAAAAGUGCUAUUAGCAUACUAUGUUCACCCACUUUAUAACUAAAACAUAAAGAGGACAAAUCAAUAUAAAGAAGGUGGGAAAAUAGAAAAGGUGAGCAUGCAUAAUAGCACUCUAUGGAAAAUGUCAAGUCUUAUUCCCUCCAAAAUGGAAGGGGAUCCUCUCCAUAUCCCUUCCUCCUAAUCCUCAUGACCCACAAAUUCGGACCCUUGAAAUUUGUUCCAACGGCUAAAAACAAGGGGCUCCAUUAAAAGUUAUAAUAACCUUAACCGUUAGAUCAAAUUUCAAGGGUCCGGAUUGGUGGGUCAUGAGGAUUAGGAGGUAGGGAUUCAGAGAUGAUCCCUUUCCCUCCAAAAUGUAUGUUUGUACAUAAAAAAUCAGUUAUUAAUAUUUAAUUAUGUAUUAAUUUAGAUGGGAUGUCCAUAAUAGACCGCGGAUGUGCUCGACUCAUGAUGGGCCGCAUGUCAACCCAACUUACUCUCUCUUAUGAAUUAUGUCAUGUCAUAAUCCAGUCCAAAACCAGUUGAAACAACAUAAAAGUUCCAUUUGGAAAUCACUUUCUACUUCUACAAGUACCCAACCAAAGCCUAGCGGAAACUCAAUUUGAGCCACUUGAUUUGCAGUACAAGCUGGUCCACAAAUUCCAUCACAGCCGUUCAUCACAAUCACCACCUCCAAAACAAAGCCUUCACUUGUAAACGCCAACGCAAAGGAUUGUCUCUUCUCUCUCUCUCUCUCUCUCCCCCUCCUGCCCCACUGCCCCGUCCUAAAUUCAUUGCCCGUACUAGAUCGCUGAUUAGAGAAAGAGGGCCCUUCAUGACCAGUCGACUCGGGGCAGACUCAACUCAGGCGGGAUCCAACUCACUCUCGAGCUCACUCCAGCUCUAGCUGAUUAUCAACGACACCGUUUCACCAUGACAGGUGUUUAAUUUUCUUUAGUUUUUUGUUUUCUCGGCUUUAGAAACCCUGGAUUUCCAUCUAGAAACUUAUACCAUGGAAAAAUGUCUCCAAGUCGCCAGCUUGAUGGCCCAAUUUUAGCUUGACUUGCUGAUUUCUGUGUUGUGGAUGAAGUUUCCGAUUUGGGUUUUCUCCAAUUAGGGUUCUUUCUCAUCUCGGUUUCUUCAAUUUUGUGGGUUUUCAUACGGAUUUGUUCGUUAUUUUUUGUGCGCCCAAUCUUGUUCAAUUUGGGUGAUUUUUGUGGUUCUGUGAUAUGGGUUUCUUCAGUUUUGUGGUGAAGCUAGGGUUUCUGAUCUGGGUUUGUUAAAUUUGUGAUAUAAUAAGCCUUUUGGUUGUGUUGGGUGAGGAGACGUCUGAUGCAAUGAACCUUGACCUGAAUCUGGGUCCUGGUCCUGAUGCUGGCUUGAUGUCAAAUGACCCUGUAAAUUUUGAUUUGACUCGGGAUGUUAUUCAUCCAUCAGAGCCUGAGAAUACCUGGGAAGCAGCAGAAAGAACUAAUUUGUUAAAUAGGAUUCUGACAUCUCGAGGACUGCGCAGAGAGCAAAAUCCAGUGGUACUUGCAGAUGAUGUUGUGGAUUUAACGCAAAGCAACGUGACUGGUGUUGAAACAAGGGAAAACCGCCAACUUCAGUCCUUGCUACUCAAAAGGACACAAUCGCACAGAGCAACACAAUCUUCUCUCUCGUCUGCAUUGAGUUCUGCUGAAAGGUUUGUUGAGGCAUUUUAUCGUAACCAUAAUAGAAAUCAAGAACAACAGCAGCCUGCACCAGUUGGUGAUAGAGAUUCUUUCUCAAGUAUUGCAGCUGUUAUAAAUUCAGAGAGCCAACUGGACACAGGUGUGGAAAUUUGUUCCAUGGUUUACCUUUCAACUUCAUCUUCCAGAAGAAGAAAUGAUUUGUCAAGAGUUUCGGACAUGGACAGUGGAGAUUCUCGUGCCCACAGAAGAAGAAGACUUAACUGAAAGCAUCUUCUUCAGCCCACAGCAGCCUGCACCAGUUGCUGAUAGAGAUUCUUUCUCAAGUAUUACUGCUGUUAUAAAUUCAGAAAGCCAACUGGACACAGCUGUGGAAAUCGAUUUCAUGGUUUCCCUUUCAACUUCAUCUUCCAGAGGAAGAAGUGAUUCGUCAAGGGUUUCGGACAUGGACAGUGGAGAUUCUCGUGCCGCCAGAAGAAGACUGAACGGAAGCAUCUUCUUCAGUUCACCAAACGUUAUCCUGUAUGUGCUCUUUGACUUUUAUUUUAUUACCCUUUCCUCCUCUUAAAUGCCUUUCCCAGUUCAGACUCGAGGAAGUAUUCACCUUUGCCGUAACCUUUGUCCUUUGACUUUGAUGAGGUGUGAUUAUGGAACUUCCGCAGCUAUCUGCUUGAUUUAUUUGUUUUAGAUUUUCAUAUAAAGAUCCUCCCUUAACCGAAGGAUCUUAGGCUUUCAAUUUGCAUGGCAAAUCAUUGUACACUAGGAGGGCGUUUGUUGCGCCGGACUAUCUCGGACUGAACUAGCUUCAAGGACUAAGCUGGACUGGCUUAGACUAGACUAAGCUAGACUAACUUAGUGAAGCGUUUGGUGCAGUGUUGGACUAAGAAGCUGGAUAAUAACAAAUUCUAAUAUUAUAUUAUUUAAUAUAUAAAUUAUUAAUAUUUUAUUAUGAUCUAGGUGACCGGAGAUGACGAGGAGUCUAUCGGGAGUGGUUGUUGAGCAUGACGAGGACGAGAGAGGAUAGUCUUAGCUAGUCCCAUGAUUAUUGAGGGGUCUCGCUAAGACCUCCUAGUGAAGGGUUUUGUCUAUGCUAGUUCCAUUUAGUCUCAUUAAUGUUAGUCCCAGCAUGGAACAAACACGGUAUUGGACUAACAGCUAGUCCAGUCCAGUCCAGUCCCAAUUAGUGAAGGCAAACAAACGCCCCCUAGUACUACUAGUAGGCUAGUUUCGUAGUUCCAUUGUAAAUAGACUCAUGAACUUCUUAUGCUAGCGUUCAUUUGGCAUAAUUCUCUAUAAUAUUUAAACUCGCUUCUAUUAA